rnacentral:rRNA from 1 species
GGUCAAGUUAUUAAGGGUGCAGGGCGGAUGCCUUGGCACUAGGAGCCGAUGAAGGACGUGAUAAGCUGCGAUAAGCUUCGGGGAGUUGCACGUAAACUUUGAUCCGAAGAUUUCCGAAUGAGGAAACUCACUUAGAGUAAUGUCUAAGUAUCAUUAAGUGAAUACAUAGCUUAAUGAGGGGAACUCAGGGAACUGAAACAUCUAAGUACCUGAAGGAAGAGAAAGAAAUUCGAUUCCGUAAGUAGCGGCGAGCGAACGCGGAUUAGCCCAAACCAAUAAAGUUUUCUUUAUUGGGGUUGCGGACAUAUCAUAACGAAGAGGUAUCGUAAUUGAAGAGGUUUGGAAAGACCCACCACAGAAGGUAAUAGUCCUGUAUGUUAAACGAGAAGACUUCAGAUAUGAUCCAGAGUACCACGGGACACGUGAAACCCUGUGGGAAGCAGGAGGGACCACCCUCCAAGGCUAAAUACUACCUAGUGACCGAUAGCGUAUAGUACCGUGAGGGAAAGGUGAAAAGAACCCCGGGAGGGGAGUGAAAUAGAACCUGAAACCCUGCACUUACAAGCUGUGGAAGCACAUUUCUUGUGUGACCGCGUACUUUUUGUAGAACGGGCCAACGAGUUACGUUAAGUAGCAAGGUUAAGCACUUAAGGUGCGGAGCCGUAGCGAAAGCGAGUUUUAACUGAGCGUUCAGUUACUUGACGUAGACCCGAAACCGGGCGACCUACCCAUGAGCAGGAUGAAGCGAAAGUAAAAUUUCGUGGAGGUCCGAACCCACGAGCGUUGAAAAGCUCGGGGAUGACUUGUGGAUAGCGGUGAAAUUCCAAUCGAGCCCGGAGAUAGCUGGUUCUCCCCGAAAUAGCUUUAGGGCUAGCCUCAAGGUGAGAGAUACGGAGGUAGAGCACUGAAUGUCCUAGGGGGUAUUGCACCUACCGAAGACUAUCAAACUCCGAAUGCCGUCAUCUUAUACUUGGGAGUCAGACUGUGGGUGAUAAGAUUCAUAGUCGAAAGGGCAACAGCCCAGAUCGUCAGCUAAGGUCCCUAAAUGUAAGUUAAGUGGUAAAGGAUGUGGGAUUGCACAGACAACCAGGAUGUUGGCUUAGAAGCAGCCACUCAUUCAAAGAGUGCGUAAUAGCUCACUGGUCGAGUGAUCCUGCGCCGAAGAUUUCCGGGGCUAAAACUUACUACCGAAGCUACGGCAUCAGUAAUGAUGGGUAGGGGAGCUUCCCAUACGGGUUGAAGCGUGACCGUAAGGACAUGUGGACAGUAUGGGAGUGAGAAUGUUGGCAUGAGUAGCGAGAUGUGGGUGAGAAUCCCACAGGCCGUAAACCCAAGGUUUCCAGGGGAAGGUUCGUCCGCCCUGGGUUAGUCGGGACCUAAGCUGAGGCCGAAAGGCGUAGGUGAUGGACAACAGGUUGAUAUUCCUGUACUACCGAUAACCGUUUGAGAGAAGGGAUGACACAGUAGGAUAAGCUAAGCACACUGUUGGUUAUGUGUGCCCAAGCAUUGAGGCAGUCAAAGUAGGCAAAUCCGCUUUGAUAAUGCUGGGAUGUGAUGGGGAGCGAAAUUUAGUAGCGAAGUAGCUGAUUUCACACUGUCAAGAAAAGUCUCUAUCGAGGUUAAAGGUACCCGUACCGCAAACCGACACAGGUGGGUGAGGAGAGUAUCCUAAGGCCAGCGAGAGAACUGUUGUUAAGGAACUCGGCAAAAUGACCCCGUAACUUAGGGAUAAGGGGUGCCACCAUCAGGUGGCCGCAGAGAAUAGGCCCAAGCGACUGUUUACCAAAAACAUAGGUUUCUGCUAAGUCGCAAGACGAUGUAUAGGAGCUGACGCCUGCCCGGUGCUGGAAGGUUAAGGGGAUCUGUUAGAGCAAUCGAAGCAGUGAACUUAAGCCCCAGUAAACGGCGGCCGUAACUAUAACGGUCCUAAGGUAGCGAAAUUCCUUGUCGGGUAAGUUCCGACCCGCACGAAAGGCGUAACGAUUUGGGCACUGUCUCAACAACAGACUCGGUGAAAUUGUAAUUCCGGUGAAGAUGCCGGAUACCUGCGACAGGACGGAAAGACCCCAUGGAGCUUUACUGUAGCUUGACAUUGGGUCUUGGUACUACAUGUACAGGAUAGGUGGGAGGCUUUGAAACCAGGACGCCAGUUUUGGCGGAGCCAUCCUUGGGAUACCACCCUUGUAGUACUGGGACUCUAACCAUAGGCCAUGAAUCUGGUCUUGGGACACUGUCAGGUGGGCAGUUUGACUGGGGCGGUCGCCUCCCAAAAGGUAACGGAGGCGCUCAAAGGUUCUCUCAGUACGGUCGGAAAUCGUACGUAGAGUGUAAAGGCAAAAGAGAGCUUGAUUGCAAGACAUACAGGUCGAGCAAGGAUGAAAAUCGGACUUAGUGAUCCGGUGGUUCUGCGUGGAAGGGCCAUCGCUCAACGGAUAAAAGCUACCCUGGGGAUAACAGGCUUAUCUCCCCCAAGAGUCCACAUCGACGGGGAGGUUUGGCACCUCGAUGUCGGCUCAUCACAUCCUGGGGCUGUAGUAGGUCCCAAGGGUUGGGCUGUUCGCCCAUUAAAGUGGUACGCGAGCUGGGUUCAGAACGUCGUGAGACAGUUCGGUCCCUAUCCGUCGCAGGCGUAGGAAAUUUGAGAAGACCUGUCCUUAGUACGAGAGGACCGGGAUGGACGUACCUCUGGUGUACCAGUUGUCCUGCCAAGGGCAUGGCUGGGUAGCUAUGUACGGAAUGGAUAAGCGCUGAAAGCAUCUAAGCGCGAAGCCAACUUCAAGAUAAGAUUUCCCACCGCAAGGGUAAG